GUUAUUUUUCAAUGAUAGCUUAAAUGGUUUCAGGAGAAUCAAGAAAUAAAAUAAGAAGAUGAAAAAGCCCAGUCCUUCUCUGAUAGGUCCAGUCUGUCUGCAUUAAUUCGGACACGAUUAAUUCCGUUGUUGAAAACCCUGAAUCAAAAUAAACCUCUAAAGCCCGGAUUUUCUUAAUCUCUCUCUACUCAUAAAAAUGGAAGAUGACACUGACAUAAGAAUGAAGAACCAAAUCGUUUGCAGUUUUAGGAAAUAAGCAGCCCAGACAGACAGUGUAGCUUUAGGUUUGCUUUAGAACUUGUUGGGUUCUUUUAGUAGAAAAAGAAAUCAAGAAUUGAAGUUAAAGACGGUAGCUUAAUAUUUGUUCAAGAAUAAUUUUCAAGGACUUGUUGAAAGCAGUAGAUUUGCCACGCAUGAUUCUUCAGAUUGCUGCUGUUGAUGGGGAUGUUAUUUUUCUCAACAUGAGGCGUCCGAGAGACAUGGUGGGAAGAUUCAGUUUCAGGAUGAAUAUAGAAUUGCUUGUUGGAUUUUUAUUUUUUGCUUUACAGAUAUUUUAUAAUUUGAUGCACAACGAUCACAUGAACCCAACGAAGAGGACUGUGCUCAUCCUAUUUGUUAUUAGCGGGUUCACGUUGUAUUUUCUUAUGCUUGAGUUGUACCUUAGCAUUCCUAGGGGUUUGCCAGAAGAAGAACGUAGGCGGGCGCGUCUAAUUGGAUGGUUUCAGGAAACAGUGAUGAUUCUUGUGCUUGUCCCAAUGGUGUACUGGAUCCUACAGAAACCAGUUUUAACAUUGAUGCCUACUCCCACAUAAUUGUGCUGUGUUGCAAGAAUCAAAACGUUCAUAUUUGGCAAAGGCAUUGACUGUAUAGGAUCUUCUCUGAGAAAACGUGUGUAGCAAUUUCAAAUUAGUCAUCCGACUGCUCUGCAGUACAUGUUUCUAAUCUGGGAUCAGUUGAAAUAUAAUCAGCAGAAUGUAUAUUUUUUCGCUUGUGAAUCUGAAUUCAUGAUUUGUAAAUAACAUUUUUUUGUCUGGGAAUUCAAGUCUAUAUUCAUCUUUGCUACCAUGAACAUCAAGAUUAAUGAGUUUAAUCUGGGAUCAUCGGCCCGGGUUCACUGUGACAUUUUAUAAUGUAAUUCAAUCUAAUCUGCAGAGAUAAGAAAAACAAGUCCCAUCAAUUU